rnacentral:rRNA from 1 species
AUUGAACGCUAGCGGGAGGCUUAACACAUGCAAGUCGAACGAGUGGCGGACGGGUGAGUAAUAUAUCGGAACGUGCCCAGUCGCGGGGGAUAACUACUCGAAAGAGUGGCUAAUACCGCAUACAAUUGGAGCAGCCUAUAUUGGAUUAGCUAGUUGGUGGGGUAAAGGCUCACCAAGGCAACGAUCCGUAGCUGGUUUGAGAGGACGACCAGCCACACUGGGACUGAGACACGGCCCAGACUCCUACGGGAGGCAGCAGUGGGGAAUAUUGGGCAAUGGGGGAAACCCUGACCCAGCCAGGCCGCGUGUAUGAGAAGGCCUUCGGGUUGUAAAGUACUUUUGGUAGAGAAGCGGUAUCUACAGAAUAAGCACCGGCUAACUACGUGCCAGCAGCCGCGGUAAUAC